rnacentral:rRNA from 1 species
UACGUAGGGGGCAAGCGUUGUCCGGAAUCAUUGGGCGUAAAGAGCGUGUAGGCGGCCCGGUAAGUCCGCUGUGAAAGUCCAGGGCUCAACCCUGGGAUGCCGGUGGAUACUGUCGGGCUCGAGUCCGGAAGAGGAGUGUGGAAUUCCUGGUGUAGCGGUGAAAUGCGCAGAUAUCAGGAGGAACACCAUGGCGAAGGCGCACU